rnacentral:rRNA from 1 species
GAUGAACGCUGGCGGCGUGCCUAAUACAUGCAAGUCGAGCGAAGCGGGGCCGGGCGAGUAACACGUGGGUAACACCCUAUAAGAAUGGGUAAACUUUGGGAAACCGGAGCUAAACCGGACACUUAUGGAUGGAGCCGCGCUGCAUUAGCUAGUUGGUAAGGUAACGGCUUACCAAAGCAACGAUGCCUAGCCGACCUGAGAGGGUGGUCGUCCACCCGUGAACUGAGCCACGGUCCAGACUCCUCCGGGAGGCAGCAGUAGGGAAUGUUCCGCAAUGGACGAAAGCGUGUCAGAACACAGCCGCGUGAGGGACAGAGGUCUUCGGAUCGUAAAACUCUGUUAUUAGGUCACCGGUACCUAAUCAGAAAGCCACGGCUAACUACGUGCCAGCAGCCGCGGUAAUUC